rnacentral:lncRNA from 1 species
CAUAAACUCCAACAAAAGUCUAACAACCAAAACUAACAUUGUGGAAAUAACGCCUAGAACCUGAAAGUCAAUGUACCAAAACAUCUAAAGUUCAACCAUAAGUCUAAACAAGAAGGGUACAACCCCAAACUAAACAUAAGACUAACUAAAGUACUAGUCUAAGUCCGAAAUGUGGACGUAGACAUAAAAGAGAACUCAUGGCAGCCUGGAAGAACUG